GUGUCAGCAGCCGCGGUAAGACGAAGGGGGCUAGCGUUGUUCGGAAUUACUGGGCGUAAAGCGAGUGUAGGCGGUUGCCCAAGUCAGGUGUGAAAGCCUUGAGCUCAACUCAAGAAAUGCACUUGGUACUGGGUGGCUAGAGGACCGGAGAGGAUAGUGGAAUUCCCAGUGUAGUGGUGAAAUACGUAGAGAUUGGGAAGAACACCAGUGGCGAAGGCGGCUAUCUGGACGGUUACUGACGCUAAGACUCGAAAGCGUGGGGAGCAAACAGGAUUAGAUACCCUCGUAGUCC
rnacentral:rRNA from 1 species